GAGAGCUGGAUUAGGGGAAACCCUUAUGUCCAGUUUGGAGGGUGGGGAUGUCCCGAUCCUAC
rnacentral:ncRNA from 1 species